rnacentral:rRNA from 1 species
AGCAGCCGCGGUAAUUCCAGCUCCAAUAGCGUAUAUUAAAGUUGUUGCAGUUAAAAAGCUCGUAGUUGAAUUUCGGGAUCAAUAUAUCGGUCAUGCUUAGGUAUGUACUGGUAUUAUUGAUUUCUCCCUUCUGAAGGACCAUGAUGUCAUUAAUUUGAUGUCGUGGGGAAUCAGGACUGUUACUUUGAAAAAAUUAGAGUGUUUAAAGCAGGCUUUCGCUUGAAUACAUUAGCAUGGAAUAAUGAAAUAGGACGUUUGAUUCUAUUUUGUUGGUUUCUAGGAUCGACGUAAUGAUUAAUAGGGAUAGUUGGGGGCAUUAGUAUUCAAUUGUCAGAGGUGAAAUUCUUGGAUUUAUUGAAGACUAACUACUGCGAAAGCAUUUGCCAAGGAUGUUUUCAUUAAUCAAGAACGAAAGUUAGGGGAUCGAGACGAUCAGGUACCGUCGUAGUCUUAACCAUAAACUAUGCCGACUAGGGAUCGGAUGAUGCUUAUUUUUUAAUGACUCAU